GACGAACGCUGGCGGCGUGCUUAACACAUGCAAGUCGAACGGAAAGGCCCAGCUUGCUGGGUGCUCGAGUGGCGAACGGGUGAGUAACACGUGGGUGAUCUGCCCCUAACUUCGGGAUAAGCUUGGGAAACUGGGUCUAAUACCGGAUAGGACAAUCGUUUAGUGUCGGUUGUGGAAAGUUUUUUCGGUUAGGGAUGAGCCCGCGGCCUAUCAGCUUGUUGAUGGGGUAAUGGCCUACCAAGGCGUCGACGGGUAGCCGGCCUGAGAGGGUGGACGGCCACAUUGGGACUGAGAUACGGCCCAGACUCCUACGGGAGGCAGCAGUGGGGAAUAUUGCACAAUGGGCGCAAGCCUGAUGCAGCGACGCCGCGUGGGGGAUGACGGCCUUCGGGUUGUAAACCUCUUUCGACAGGGACGAAGCUUUGGUGACGGUACCUGUAUAAGAAGCACCGGCUAACUACGUG
rnacentral:rRNA from 1 species